rnacentral:lncRNA from 1 species
UUUGAUUAAUCAUGUCCAUAAUUAUAGCCUAGAAUCAAGCAUUGUAAUCAUAGCCUAGAAUCAAGCAUUGUAAUCAUGUAUAUAUACUGAGUUUGUGAAAUGAGGACUCACGGAAUGUAAGACCCCAACUUAUUAUAAAUAAAAUUGAAUUUUCCUUUAUUCAUUAUUCUAAAUUAAUAAGGGUUAAUUUGAUAUAAUUCUUUGGUUAUGGGUGAAAUGUGCAAAGUUUACAAAAUAAGCAAGUGGUUAUAAAAUAUUCAUUAUUGUCGGGGAAUAUUCG